AGUCGCAAGACCAAAGAGGGGGACCUUCGGGCCUCUUGCCAUCAGAUGUGCCCAGAUGGGAUUAGCUAGUAGGUGGGGUAACGGCUCACCUAGGCGCGAUCCCUAGCUGGUCUGAGAGGAUGACCAGCCACACUGGAACUGAGACACGGUCCAGACUCCUACGGGAGGCAGCAUG
rnacentral:rRNA from 1 species